GCUCAGGAUGAACGCUGGCGGCGUGCUUAACACAUGCAAGUCGAACGAAGCGCUUAAAUGGAUUUCUUCGGAUUGAAGUUUUUGUGACUGAGUGGCGGACGGGUGAGUAACGCGUGGGUAACCUGCCUCAUACAGGGGGAUAACAGUUAGAAAUGACUGCUAAUACCGCAUAAGCGCACAGUGCUGCAUGGCACAGUGUGAAAAACUCCGGUGGUAUGAGAUGGACCCGCGUCUGAUUAGCUAGUUGGUGGGGUAACGGCCUACCAAGGCGACGAUCAGUAGCCGGCCUGAGAGGGUGAACGGCCACAUUGGGACUGAGACACGGCCCAAACUCCUACGGGAGGCAGCAGUA
rnacentral:rRNA from 1 species